rnacentral:rRNA from 1 species
AAAGAGAGUUAAAAAGCACGUGAAAUUGUUAAAAGGGAAGGGAUUGCAACCAGACUUGCUCGCGGUGUUCCGCCGGUCUUCUGACCGGUCUACUCGCCGCGUUGCAGGCCAGCAUCGUCUGGUGCCGCUGGAUAAGACUUGAGGAAUGUAGCUCCCUCGGGAGUGUUAUAGCCUCUUGUGAUGCAGCGAGCGCCGGGCGAGGUCCGCGCUUCGGCUAGGAUGCUGGCGUAAUGGUCGUAAUCCGCCCGUCUUGUAACACGGACCAAGGAGUCUAACAUCUAUGCGAGUGUUCGGGUGUCAAACCCCUACGCGUAAUGAAAGUGAACGGAGGUGAGAACCGCAAGGUGCAUCAUCGACCGAUCCUGAUGUCUUCGGAUGGAUUUGAGUAAGAGCAUAGCUGUUGGGACCCGAAAGAUGGUGAACUAUGCCUG